GAGGCUUCGUAUUUUUAUAUUAUUCAUGCUUAGUGUGUUUUGCAAUUUUCAAUUGAAGCCUAUAGUUGUGUUCCCCUCGCUAUCCAAUACUUGCAAUUCUGAUGCUGUAAUUGGACGUCGGGUAACAAAAUUU
rnacentral:snoRNA from 1 species